UGAGGAAUAUUGGGCAAUGCCCGCAAGGGUGACCCAGCAACGCCGCGUGGAGGAUGAAUGUCGUAAGAUUGCAAACUCCUGUUAGAGGGGAAGAAUAGUACCGGUUGGACCGGUAUAUGACUGUACCCUCAGAGAAAGCCCCGGCUAACUACGUGCCAGCAGCCGCGGUAAUACGUAGGGGGCAAGCGUUGUCCGGAUUUACUGGGUGUAAAGGGCGCGCAGGCGGGAUAAAAAGUCAGUGGUGAAAUCCUACAGCUUAACUGUAGAACUGCCUUUGAUACUUUUAUUCUUGAGUUCGGGAGAGAGAGACGGAAUUCCAGGUGUAGUGGUGAAAUACGUAGAUAUCUGGAAGAACACCAGUUGCGAAGGCGGUCUCUUGGUCCGACACUGACGCUGAGGCGCGAAAGCGUGGGGAGCAAACA
rnacentral:rRNA from 1 species